rnacentral:rRNA from 1 species
UACGGGGGGGGCAAGCGUUGUUCGGAAUUACUGGGCGUAAAGGGCUCGUAGGUGGCCAACUAAGUCAGACGUGAAAUCCCUCGGCUUAACCGGGGAACUGCGUCUGAUACUGGAUGGCUUGAGAUUGGGAGAGGGAUGCGGAAUUCCAGGUGUAGCGGUGAAAUGCGUAGAUAUCUGGAGGAACACCGGUGGCGAAGGCGGCCCGCUGGGCAGUGGCUGACGCUGAGGCGCGACAGCGUGGGGAGCAAACAGG